ACGAACGCUGGCGGCAUGCCUAACACAUGCAAGUCGAACGAGACCUUCGGGUCUAGUGGCGCACGGGUGCGUAACGCGUGGGAACCUGCCCUUAGGUUCGGAAUAACUCCCCGAAAGGGGUGCUAAUACCGGAUAAUGUCUUCGGACCAAAGAUUUAUCGCCUUUGGAUGGGCCCGCGUUGGAUUAGCUAGUUGGUAGGGUAAAAGCCUACCAAGGCGACGAUCCAUAGCUGGGCUGAGAGGAUGAUCAGCCACACUGGGACUGAGACACGGCCCAGACUCCUACGGGAGGCAGCAGUGGGGAAUAUUGGACAAUGGGCGAAAGCCUGAUCCAGCAAUGCCGCGUGAGUGAUGAAGGCCUUAGGGUUGUAAAGCUCUUUUACCCGGGAUGAUAAUGACAGUACCGGGAGAAUAAGCUCCGGCUAACUCCGUG
rnacentral:rRNA from 1 species